rnacentral:tRNA from 1 species
CGGGGUGUGGCGCAGCUUGGUAGCGCCCGUCGUUCGGGACGACGAGGCCGCAGGUUCAAAUCCUGUCACCCCGACCAGAAAGAGCCCCGCCGAAUCGGCGGGGGCUCUU